AUACUUACUUAGUAGAGGAGAUACCAUAGCCAAGAAGGAACUUUUUCCAGGGAGUGUUUUAUCCACUGGACUACAAAUUUCUUUCUCCUGCAUUUCUCUUAACUGUAGAAAUUUUGACCUAGUAACUUGUGGUAGUGGAGAACUGUGUUCAUAUUCUCCUU